GAUCCUGGCUCAGGAUGAAUGCUGGCGGCGUGCCUAACACAUGCAAGUCGAGCGGCAGCGAGGGGUGCUUGCACCCUGUCGGCGAGCGGCGAACGGCUGAGUAACGCGUAGGAAUUUGCCCCAAAGUGAGGAAUAACUGCCCGAAAGGGUAGCUAAUGCCGCAUAUGGUCUUCGGAUUAAAGGAUUUAUCCGCUUUGGGAGAAGCCUGCGUUGGAUUAGGUUGUUGGUAGGGUAAUGGCCUACCAAG
rnacentral:rRNA from 1 species